AUUAUCAAUAGAAACUUAUAAAAUGAUGAAAUCCACAUUGAUGCAGAGAAUAGAGAAUACACAUUUAUUAUGAUUUGCUAUUUGUCUUUGUACUUAGUUGUUAGGGUAAUUGAAUAUCAUGCAAUUCACUUUUAUAAACUAAAUGAUCUUAAAAUAUCACUAAUCAAAAUUGCUAAAGCAAUGAGCCAUAAAUAUGCGACACAUGCUAAGUUGUCUGAUGUAGUUGCAUAGAUACAUAUAAACAUGUAUCCUAAGAGAGAUAAGAGCGCAAACUCGGGUAUGUGCGACUGGCACUAGCUUCACAUAUCAACUAAAUAUGACAUCACAACUUGAACCUAAGAUCUCAUAGAUAGAAGUUCCUUAGGCUCAAAUAGUUAAUUAUUUGUUAUCUUUUUUUACUCUUUUUUCAUUACACAAUGUAAAAUCAAACUAGACUAGACAAAUUAAAAUCUUAUUUGUCAUCAUAACCAUAUAUUAAGACAUGUUUGAGUAUUAGAGUGAGAAUGAUCCUUGAGAUUUCUUCAUUUUAAGAACAUGCUACCUUUUCUCUUUCUUCAUCCUAAUGUUAUUCAUUGGUCAAAGUGACGAUGAUCCUUGACCUUUCAGAUGGGAAAAAGGAUUGAUAUUCAAAUUUAAUUGUAAAAAAAUUGAGUAACUUUUUUUUAUAUAAAUAAAAAAUUGAGCAAAUUUUUUGGUUGUUAUGAAACACUUCAAUCGAAAAAUUCAAAUUUAAGCAUAAAUUUGAGAAUUUUUUUUUAUUUAUGACAUAAUGGUAAAUUUUAAAUUCAGAAAAUAGACUUCAAAAUUUUGAAAAAAAAAAAUGAAUUUUGUCAACGUACAUUAACAAGUUUAAAAAUAUGAACAUUCAACUGCAUAUAAUAAAACAUUCACAUACAAACACUACAACAAAAACAAGCUACGACAAUGUUUUUUUUAUGGCAUUUUUAUUAAAACGCCAUCAUUGAUCAAUUAAAAAUUGAAAAGUACAGUGCUGUGUUAAUUAAAUUUCAAAACAGUGCUGUUGUGGGUGCAUAUCUGACACCGUUACAUAUCCUAUCUCACUCUCUCCCUCCCUCUCACUCUUGCUCGAAUUCACUCUCACUCUCACUCUCACCCUCGCUCGAAGUCUCUCUGUCUCAGUCUCACUUUCUCUCUCGCUCAAAUUCUCUCACACUCUCGGUCUCAUUCUCACUCUCUGUACUCAUCUCUUCAUCAGAUCUAUGAAGUUUGUCAAAGAUUUGAAGGUUGAUUCUUGAAGAUUCGAAGGUUGAUUCUCCAGAUUUGCAAUUCGAAGGUUGAUUCUUGAAGAUUCGAAGGUUGAUUCUCCAGAUUUGCAGUUGUCUCUUUCGAUUUUAUCUCAUCGUUCAUCAAUUGGUCGAUUAAUCUACAUGAAACCUGUUUGAGAUUUGGCUUCUCAAAUCUUUAGCAUUGGAGAAGGAAGAGUUGAUGCAAGCAUUGCUUGCUGAAUCAUCUGAAAGUUCCACGCUGAAGUGAAAUGAAAUCUUAGAUGUCAAUAUUGGUGCUAAUCGGCAUACACUUGCAAAUUCUGAACACCUUGGAGACAAGUCAACAACUCAAGUGGAAGUUCGGGUUGAUGUGACCAGUUGUGAGAAGCAGCUUUUGGAAUUGCUUGAUGUAGUGAAUUGCUAUUUAGAGUAUUGUGUAUUGUUGUUAGAUUUGCUACUAGUUGUUAAUUUGUAUUGAUGCUUAAAGCUGCUAAUUUUUAUUGGUACUUUGGAUUGAAUAGUAUGUCAUCUUUGCUUCAUUGGUAUGUGUUGUUGCAAAAGCAACUGAUGGGAACUAAGUUGGUCUGUUUUUUCAGUUUUAUAUGAUAACACAC